GAAAAUCUUAGCAUGAAUCAUGCAUCACGGAUGCCAUGUGAUAUUUUAGGUUGUUUGCAUUAGAAAUCACGAAUAUGUUGCAUUGCAUAAUAUGUUGUUGAUGUGGAUGAAUGUUGAAUGAUCCUCUAGCCGCACUACGUUAUGAUAUGAUGUGGAAAGACCAGAUGUGGCCUGCACUACGCCCCUGGCACUAUGUAAGAGAAAGACCGGAAAUGGCCUGCACUACGCCGCCGGCACUAUUGGAUAUGUUAUGUUAUGUUAUGUGUAAGAGAAAGACCAGAUGUGGCCUGCACUAUGCCCCUGGCACUAUUGGAUUCAGUAGUGGGCUAUUGGUGACAAGUUCAUCCUUGACGUGAAUUGAUUGUGAUAUGUUGCAUUUCAUGAAAGCAUGAAAAAUAAAUUGAAUGUUAUAUUAUUCUGCUCACUGGGCUCUUGUAGCUCACCCCUUUCCCCUUAUCCCCCAGGUUUGCAGGUACAGGGUAGACCAGGAGGUUGGCAGGAGUAAAGUCUGUU
rnacentral:lncRNA from 1 species